CUGAAAUAGUGGGAUGCAGCAUGGAAGAAAGAACUAUAACUCCCUUCCACUUUCCAAAUUUCAAUUAGCGUUCCUGUAAUUUAUAGGUUUCCUAUUCCUUUAGAAGUUUCCAGGCAUGAAUAAUAAAGAGAUUCCAAACCAUAACUUUACAACUUGGAGGACUGAAGCAUUAUAGUGAGACUACUGCACUUUACAUUCAAAGGAGGGCCACUGAACAGGGCACUGUCAGAAACAGGAGAGGAAAAAAGGUAAAAAUAUAUCCACUGCAGCUAAUGGAUUUCCUUAUCUGUGAAAGAAACACAGACCAUAUCUAACUGAAUCUUCUGGAGUGCCCUAGAUAGUAGUGCCAUACAGGAAAGACAGAGCAAUAUGUAACCAGAAAAGGGCUGCUGGGAGACUGAGAUCAGGCAAGCUCUGAGACAUGAUUUUUGUUAGCAUGCAAGACAAGAUGACCAACCUACAGCUGACCUAUAGAUCAUCCUUAAAGAUCAAAUCUAGGCGAUUUGAUCAAAUUCUAUAUGACUCAUUUGCAGAACCUCAACAAAGGUAAUCCACCUAAGCAGGCAAAAUACUCCAAAAGCCUGAUAAAGCUAGUGCUCUCCUUUGAAGAAGUGCUGGCACUCCAGAAAUACCACACUAUACAGAACAAGGAAGGCCUGACAGUCCUUCAAACUACAGAGCUCCACAUUUCAUAGUGCUUCUCUCCUCUGAUACUUGUAAUCCCUUGGGUUCUUAAGCUGCCAAAAUAGUAUUGCAUUAUGGAAAGGAACUUCCAGUACAUUUGCUGGGACCAGGCCAGGUCACAAAAGUCAUGCUCCAAAUAAUCAGAGUCACCCAAAUAUACUGUACUAUAGUACAGUCAGAGACGGUGAGUUCCACAGCUGAAGGCCCUGGAAAUGGACAGAAGCAAGAGGACUUAUAGAAGUACAGCUGCAGUUCAAAGAGUGAGGGGCAGCCAGAGGUACUCCCAGUGAAGCUGUAGGACAAGCCUCCAGUCAAGUAAGGAGAUUAUUUGACAGUAAAACACACUGGCUAUUGCAUUCUCCACAGUCCAAUUCAUUUCACUGCACACCAGUCUCUACUUGUUCACCUUUGUCAGCAGAUUAACCAAUUUUUGUGAUAUCACAAUACCCAUGACAACAUGAAAUGCUGUAGAAUCCCACAGAGAACAAUUAAAACAGAUGCAAAGUUCUUUUGGUAACCAAGAGAAGAUGAACACCAUUAUCCCAUUUCUUAUGCUAUGGGAUUCACCUUCUUGAGGAUGAAUCAAGUCAUAGGUGAAGCAGCUAGUUACACAAAGAGUUAUCAGAGAACACUGAAACACCUGCAACAUCUGCCUGUCAAAAGCUCCAGAUAGCCAUAGAAACUCAAGACUUCUGGCUUCCUUCUCUGCCUAUAGAUCUGCAACUAUAAGAACAGGAAUUAAGCCCUGGGAGUAAGCUAUGAGGAGCAAGACCUCUUAGAGUAAAGAGAUGGAGCUGGAGAAGCUAUACCCAGAUGGAUGUACACCAGUCCAUAAAACACAUCUGAGCAUAUCAAAGAAACAGUUUAGUGUCACUGCAAUUCCCCUACCAUGACUGAGAGAUUAUGACAAUUGGGUGGUAUUUCCAAUGAUAGAAAGACAACUGUCACAUCCAUGUCAAAGAAGGUUUACAAGAAAAAAAAUCAGGUUAUUGUGGGCUAGUCAGCCUCCAGGAUUAACAUUAAAAUAAUCUUGGAAGACAUUACCACAUUAAGCAGAAAAAAGCAAUUAGGAAGAACAAUCACAGACCUGCCAAGGUGAAUAGUCCCUUAUUGAUCUGAGUGCCUUCUGCGAUGAGAUGACACUGUUUUCAAAAAAAGAAAGUAACAAAUGCUGUGCAUCUCAGCUUCAGCAUGGCUCCUGCUAUGAUGUCCCAUAGUUUCCUUAUAACUUCAUCAUAUGGACUAAGUGAACAAAAAGGUGGGUAGAAAAUGAACCUGACUGUUGGGCUUGGGGAUGUUGAUAACGGGUACAAAGUUCACUGGGCAGUCAACUUCCAGUGGUGUACCUCUGGGACUGACAGGAGUCAUCAAAACUAUUCCCUGGAUGAUGAGUCAGCAUGCUCAGCAAGUGUGUGAACAAUAUCAAAGUGGGUGAGUGUCUGAUACUGUGGAGGGCAGGACUGCUAGACAGAGGAACAGGCUGAAAAAUAAUGAUCUGAUAGAAAAUCUGGGAAGUCCAAGGGCAGUAAAUACCACAUCUGGGCCAGGGUAACCAUCAGCCCUACAGGCUGAGAUCAGAUGUUAACAGGGAAUCUUCGUGGGGAAAGACAUGGGAGGCCAACAAAGAGUUGAACAGGAGUCAGCAAUAAUGGCCAGCUGCAUGUGGAAGGCUGCAGAAAGUAUUCUUCCAUUCCUUCUGGCACUUGUAAGCCAGCAUCUGGAGUACUGUGUCCACUUCUGGGCUCCUCAACACCUCAGCUGACACAGUGGAGUCAGUGACAUAAGGGGAGAGCUUGAAGGGGGGAAGUUAUUCUGCCCCAAGACGAGAAGGUCAGUGGCAGAGUUUUCUGUGCUCUACAUCUAUCCCCGCAGGGGGCAGGCAUGGAGAGAUGCAGACAGACUGAUCCCAGUAGGUAUGGUGAUGGAACAAGAUGUAAGAAAAUACUUUUGCCACAGCAGAGGUGGUCAAACACCCUUAAGCAGGGGCAGAAGAAAGAAGUAAGAAAUGAGCAGUGUACAAGAAAUUGCAUGAUCUCCAUUCUUGGGAGUAAAAUGAUGCUUACAACCUCAGUUAUUCUGUGAUUCCAUUUAAAUUUCCAUUUUUUCAGCUUCUUAAUUUAGCCCUCUCUGUACUAAAAUCAAAGCAAAAAUACAAGAAAGCUAUUUAUUGCUUUUAAUUUGCUCCAUGUCUUCCUUUAGGGCUAUGUAGUCAACUGGCAGAAAAUACUGGAAAAGCUAUGACACUUAUUCCUGACAUGUGCUUUCUCUUUUAAAUUAGCCAGUCUUUCCUAGUU